rnacentral:rRNA from 13 species
GAGUCUCCUGAAGGAACGUUGAAGACGACGACGUUGAUAGGCCGGGUGUGUAAGCGCAGCGAUGCGUUGAGCUAACCGGUACUAAUGAACCGUGAGGCUUAACCUUACAACGCCGAAGCUGUU